UACGUAGGGGGCAAGCGUUGUCCGGAUUUAUUGGGCGUAAAGAGCGUGUAGGCGGCCAGGUAGGUGGGGUUGUGAAAACUGGAGGCUCAACCUUCAGAGGUCGACCCAAACCCCCUGGCUAGAGUCCGGAAGAGGAGAGUGGAAUUCCUGGUGAGCGGGUGAAAAUGCGCAGAUAUCAGGAAGAACACCCGUGGCGAAGGCGGCUCUCUGGGCCGAUACUGACACUGAGGAGCGAAAGCGUGGGGAGCAACAGG
rnacentral:rRNA from 1 species